GACGAACGCUGGCGGCGUGCUUAACACAUGCAAGUCGAACGGUAAGGCCUUCGGGUACACGAGUGGCGAACGGGUGAGUAACACGUGGGUGAUCUGCCCCCUACUCUGGGAUAAGCCUGGGAAACUGGGUCUAAUACCGGAUAUGACCUCCUUCUGCAUGGUUGGUGGUGGAAAGUUUUUUCGGUAGGGGAUGAGCCCGCGGCCUAUCAGCUUGUUGGUGGGGUAAUGGCCUACCAAGGCGACGACGGGUAGCCGGCCUGAGCGGGCGACCUGCCACACUGGGACUGAGACACGGCCCAGACUCCUACGGGAGGCAGCAGUGGGGAAUAUUGCACAAUGGGCGAAAGCCUGAUGCAGCGAUGCCGCGUGGGGGAUGACGGCCUUCGGGUUGUAAACCCCUUUCAGUCGGGACGAAGCGAGAGUGACGGUACCGAUAGAAGAAGCACCGGCCAACUACGUGCCAGCAGCCGCCGUAACAC
rnacentral:rRNA from 1 species